UACGGAGGGUGCAAGCGUUAUCCGGAUUUAUUGGGUUUAAAGGGUCCGUAGGCGGAUCUGUAAGUCAGUGGUGAAAUCUCACAGCUUAACUGUGAAACUGCCAUUGAUACUGCAGGUCUUGAGUGUUAUUGAAGUAGCUGGAAUAAGUAGUGUAGCGGUGAAAUGCAUAGAUAUUACUUAGAACACCAAUUGCGAAGGCAGGUUACUAAGCAACAACUGAGGCUGAUGGACGAAAGCGUGGGGAGCGAACAGG
rnacentral:rRNA from 1 species